GUGGUUCACUGUGCACCACGUCAGGACUAGAGAAAAGUAGGUUCUGUUGAAGGGAGCGAGGGCUGUUUCAGGCCAAACUUUUGGUGGAACGAGGGGGUAUAGCUGGGACAAAGGGUGCAGGGAGCUCAGUGCAGACGUGGGACCCCAAGAGAGGCCAUGCCAGGCCCUGACUCUCGUCUCACGCUGCUGUUCUCAUUGUGCAGAGGAAGGCUAGGGCUCAGCAGGUAUAGCUACGUGCCCCAUAUUAGCUGCCGUGUGUGUCCUGCAUGGGGCUGCUUCUCACUUCCUUCCUGAGAGGAUUGGAGUCCUGAGCAGGCAGGUUAGACCUGAUCCCAGCUCCAGGUGUUGCCUGCUGUGUGGCCUUUCAGUCCCCUUCGGUGUGAGGACCCCCCCUGGGCCCUGGGCCUUGGGGACAUCUGCAAGACUGUGCUGCCCAGGGGAGCACCACAGAGAGC